rnacentral:lncRNA from 1 species
GACUAAUAUUUAGAUGUGAAAGUUUUACUGUUGAAUUAAUCGAUUGUUAUUUUAAUUAUGUGUCUCUCAGAGUCCGUGUCCGUUGGGCAGAGUCUCCAGGCAGUAGAUCAUGAACCUGAGCGAGAAGAGGCCCAACAAGUGGUGGACGGAGCCGGACACCUUCACCAUGCUGACCCUAAUAGAACAGCUGGACCUGGUCCGGGAGCUAGACAAGAAGCGGCAGCGCAACGAGUCCCACUUCCGCCGCCUGCGGCAGAGCCUGGCCAAGCAGGACAUCCACUUCACCAUCAACCAGAUCCGCAACCGCUGGAAGAGCCUGAAGCACAAGUACCGCAAGAUCAAGCUGGCCACGUACCGCAGCCCGGCGGCACGCCUCGCCGCCAUGGAGUCCUUCCGCUAUUUCCGCAGGCUGGACCGCAUGCUGGCCUGCAGAUCCAGAACCGGAGGUCAGGAGGACGGCUGCGGGGGAGAGCGUAGCCUGGUGGGCCGGUCGGAUCCGGAGGAUCAUGCAAACAUUCUGGGUGAUGAUGGCGUGUCGGGUCCAGUAGCUCCCUGGUCUGGUGGAGGUUCUCUGGAGUCUGAAUCUGAGAGCUUCGCCCCUAAGCUGGAAUCCAGUGCUGAUGAGGGCAUGAAAUCAGAAGAGCUGGCCAGUCCGGAGCCCUCGAGCUGGGCUGCAGGCAGCCACGAGGUGAUGACUCUGGGGUUAUCUGGAGAGUAUCUCUACGCCGUCAAAACUGAGCCUAAUUCAGAUCUCAACCCGGCUCCUGGUACUGAUGACAGUAGAGAGGCUACUGGCUGUGGGCAAACCGCUGGCUCUUCGGAGGACGUGUGCAGCCUGAUCCUGCAGCAGCUCACGUUUCUGAACCACCAGCUGGAGGAGCAGCUGGCAGAGCAGAGGGCGUUCCACUGCAGCAUGUUGGGCAUGAUGGACCGACAGAUCGAGGUUCUAGAGCAGCUCUCCAGCUUCACCCAGAACCACUGCCACCAGCCCAAGCCUGAACCCACCGAGAACGACUCCUCCAUCAGCCAGAAGGUUCAGGAAACUCUGCUGCGCAUCCUGAGGGGCAUGGAGAGCCAAGCGCUGCAGCCGUGCCUCUCCAAACCUCCGCCUUCAGCGCCUCCACCAGUGCCUCCACCCUGGACUGUGUCUCUUGUGGAGGUUCACCAGAGGUCCUCGUCUGUUGACGGGGAGGUGAACGGUGAAGCCGAGGACACGAAAAGCACAGAUAUGUGCAAAACCUCUUCUAUUGCUUCACCAGAUACAGAACUGCUGCCUUCUCCCCCCAGGAACGGUUCUCUGCAGAACAGACUCUGUUAGUACUAGCCCGUAUCGUAAGUCAGUACCAUGUAGGCCUGUCACCAGAACUUUCUUUUUUUGGCCUGUAUAUUGUCCUGAAAAUGAUUGUGAUAAAUGAUAACACUGACCAUUAAUGUCAACUCUAUCCCACUUAUAACACAACAAUAAAGUAGCUUUACAAUUAGGCCUAUUUGGUUAA